UACGAAGGGGGCUAGCGUUGCUCGGAAUUACUGGGCGUAAAGGGCGCGUAGGCGGCGCGGUAAGUCACCUGUGAAAUCUCCUGGCUCAACUGGGAGCUUGCAGGCGAAACUGCCGUGCUGGAGUGUGGGAGAGGUGCGUGGAAUUCCUGGUGUAGCGGUGAAAUGCGUAGAUAUCAGGAGGAACACCUGUGGCGAAAGCGGCGCACUGGACCACAACUGACGCUGAGGCGCGAAAGCUAGGGGAGCAAACAGG
rnacentral:rRNA from 1 species